rnacentral:lncRNA from 1 species
GCAGUUGGAGGAUUCUGGAGUGCUGGCUCGCGUCAUCCAGAGUGAGUCCCUCUGAGAGGCUUUAGGGAGAGCUGUGCGACAGCUGCACCACUAGCAAGGGGUUGGGACUCACGACUGCCAGGAGCCAGCUGUCCACCUUGCAGACCUCAGAGCAGAAGGAGCCUCAGAACAGUUUAAAUCAUGGAGAAGCACGGACCACCAGAACAUGCUGCUUACCCCAUUCCUCAGGCUGACUACCAAGGGUCCCAGGGUCCCUAUCCAGGACCGCAGGGUCCAUAUCCAGGGCCCCAGGGUCCCUAUGCAGGGCCUCAAGGUCCCUAUCCAGGGCCCCAGGGUCCCUAUGCAGGGCCCCAAGGUCCCUAUCCAGGGCCCCAACCUGGCUACCCAGUUCCACCAGGCAGUUAUGCAGGUGGUGACCCAAGUGGCUUUCCUGUCCAACAUCAGCCGGCGUAUAAUCACCCAGGUGGACCUGGGGGCACCCCAUGGAUGCAAGCACCACCUCCACCCCUGGACUGUCCGCCUGGGCUGGAAUACUUAACGCAGAUAGAUCAGAUUCUGGUUCAUCAGCAGAUUGAACUUCUGGAAGUCUUAACAGGCUUUGAAACAAAUAACAAAUAUGAAAUCAAGAACAGCCUUGGGCAGAGGGUUUACUUUGCGGUGGAAGAUACGGACUGCUGCACUCGAAACUGCUGUGGGGCGUCUAGACCGUUCACCUUGAGGAUCCUGGAUAACAUGGGCCGAGAAGUCAUGACUCUGGAGAGACCCCUGAGAUGCAGUAGCUGCUGCUUCCCCUGCUGCCUC